ensembl:ncRNA C09C7.2 ncRNA
CUCAAUUGGAACGAAGCUGCCAGCUAGGUUUGACAACAAAUACUGGCGGUACGCUGCCCAGAUGAGGAUUGUUAGCUCUGCAAGCAGAACUGCACUGCGGACAGCCGUUUUUU